AUUGAACGCUGGCGGCAUGCCUAACACAUGCAAGUCGAGCGGUAGCAGGCAGCUUGCUCCUGAAUUCAGCGGCGCACGGGUGAGUUAUGCCUAGAGAUGUGCCUGGGAGUGGGGGAUAACGUCCAGAAACGGGCUCUAAUACCGCAUACGUCCUGAGGGAGAAAGUGGGGGAUCUCAGCACCUCUCGCUCUCAGACCAGCCUAGGUCGGAUUAGCUAGUUGGUGGGGUAAAGGCCUACCAAGGCGACGAUCCGUAACUGGUCUGAGAGGAUGAUCAGUCACACUGGAACUGAGACACGGUCCAGACUCCUACGGGAGGCAGCAGUGGGGAAUAUUGGACAAUGGGCGAAAGCCUGAUCCAGCCAUGCCGCGUGUGUGAAGAAGGUCUUCGGAUUGUAAAGCGCUUUAAGUUGGAAGGAAGAGGAGUUAGUUAAUACCUGGCUGUUAUGACGGUACCAAAAGAAUAAGCACCGGCUAACUUCGUG
rnacentral:rRNA from 1 species